rnacentral:rRNA from 1 species
UCCUACGGGAGGCAGCAGUGGGGAAUAUUGGACAAUGGGCGAAAGCCUGAUCCAGCCAUGCCGCGUGUGUGAAGAAGGUCUUCGGAUUGUAAAGCACUUUAAGUUGGGAGGAAGGGCAGUAAGUUAAUACCUUGCUGUUUGACGUACCGACAGAAUAGCCCGCCGGGCCCC